CGAUCAAUCGCCUCCCCCGCGGUGGUCUGCUUCCGAGCUCUCCAGCCGGGGAGGGGGGGGUUGUCGCGCGGCUGGGGGUUGCUCGUGGGCCAGCCCGACUCUCGUCCGCGGGCCCUCCGUCCCCUAAGAGCAGACGACGGCCGAUCGCGUGCGCGUCACGUCGCCGAGACGAGCGAGAGAGCGAGGGUCGCGGGCGCCCUCCGCCGCGGCCCGUGGCCCGCGGGGAGGCGCUCACGCCGAGGCGACGAAUUCCCGCGUCCCCGCGGCGUUCCCGUCCGGGAACGGCGUCUCGCGCCGCACCGGGGUCCGUCUGGCUCGCUCCGAGGCCCCGCGGGUCGCGUUUGCGGGGUCCGCGCCCCCGGGGACGCACGCCCCGGGGGGGCCCGCGGGACGCCGCGGUGUCCGUCCCGCGCGCGCUUCCCUCCCGGGGCGCGGCCGCGUCGCGCCGCGUCGCCCGAGCCCACCGCCGACGCCGGCCCGUGUUCACCCGCCGCCCGUCCGUCCCGUCCCGCCCCGGGGCCGUCCCGCCCAUCGCUCCCGCCCUCCCGCCCCUCCCGUCUCGUCCCGGUCGGCCGGCCCGCCGCCUCCGCCCCCUCCGGGGAGGGAGGGCUGGCCUCGCGGAGCCGGCGGGUCCGAGGAAGAGCGCGGGGGACGGUGGUGGGGGUGGACAAAAGAGCGAAAGACGGGGUCUCCCGCGGCGGGCACCGGGCGGCCGUCGGCGCCGUGGAAGCCUCGGCGCGUGGGCGCGCGUCACCCGCCCUCCGGCGGCGGGGUCCGCGCCCGCGCUCCCUCGACUCUCUCCGCGGCUCUCGCGCGUCGCGUGCGCGUCGCCCCGACCGACGGGGCCGGCCUUCCAUCUCCGGGAGCCUCGCGGUCGCGCGUGGCUUGUGCGCGGAGGAGGGGGAAAGGGGAAGGAGCGUCCCGGGGGCGGCGCGCGGUUCGUUCGGGGGCGUGGGUGUGGUGGUGGUGGUGGUGGUGUGGUGGUGCGGGGGGGAGGACGCGGUGUCGUGCCGGGUGCGGGUCCGGCGGCGGACGCGUGCGGGUGAGUCGGGUCGCGGGGACGGUUCCGCCGCCCCCUCCGCGCCUCCGCUCCGCGCCGCCGCCCGCCCCGGCCCUCCCGCUCUCCUCUCCUCCUCCUCCUCCUCCUCCCUCCUCCUCCUCCCCCGCCAACCUCCGACGGGGCCUCCCCGCGCCCCCACACGGCGCCCGUCCCCCUUCCUUUCCCCGCGCCCGCCUCCGCACCCCCGGCUCCCCGCCCUCCGGAGACGCGACCUCAGAUCAGACUGGCGACCCGCUGAAUUUAAGCAUAUUAGUAGCGGAGGAAAAGAAACUAACGAGGAUUCCCUCAGUAACGGCGAGUGA
rnacentral:lncRNA from 1 species